rnacentral:rRNA from 1 species
GAUGAACGCUGGCGGCGUGCCUAAUACAUGCAAGUCGAGCGAACAGACGAGGAGCUUGCUCCUCUGACGUUAGCGGCGGACGGGUGAGUAACACGUGUAUAACCUACCUAUAAGACUGGGAUAACUUCGGGAAACCGGAGCUAAUACCGGAUAAUAUAUUGAACCGCAUGGUUCAAUAGUGAAAGACGGUUUUGCUGUCACUUAUAGAUGGAUCCGCGCCGCAUUAGCUAGUUGGUAAGGUAACGGCUUACCAAGGCAACGAUGCGUAGCCGACCUGAGAGGGUGAUCGGCCACACUGGAACUGAGACACGGACCAGACUACUACGGGAGGCAGCAGUAGGGAAUCUUCCGCAAUGGGCGAAAGCCUGACGGAGCAACGCCGCGUGAGUGAUGAAGGUCUUCGGAGCGUAAAACUCUGUUAUUAGGGAAGAACAAAUGUGUAAGUAACUAUGCACGUCUUGACGGUACCUAAUCAGAAAGCCACGGCUAACUACGUG